GAUAUUGAUUGAUGUGAAAAAAGAUAGAAAAUUUUAGCAUAAGGCAACAAAAAUGUGGAGAAAAUGAAAACAGUUGAAAUUGACAACACCUUCCAAAAUAUCAUUAGCUACAGGUAAGACAAGUGGCUAUACUGAAUAAUGAUAAAAAUAAAAUAAAAAAUCCUAAUCAAACUGAACCAUAUGAUGAUGUUAAUUUACGUUUAUCUUUUCUCUAGAUGCUCAAACCUCAGGUAACAUUCCUGGCAACACUGACAUGAGUGCAGUAGUGAUGGUCACAAUAGUGUCUCUGUGUGUCCUCACAGCACUGAUCAUCUGUGGGAUUCUUUAUUUCAGAAAACGAAAGCAGAAUAUCAACAGCCAAACUGAAGUGAACUGCAGGCAUUCCACAUAUUAUUCUGAAAUUCCAGGAGGACUGGAUGUCCCGUUGUAUUCUGUAGUUCAACGUACAUGAAUCAUGACCUCUUGUAGGUUACUACAACACAAUAAUCUUUAAACUGUAAUUAUAUAAUAAAUAGAAUAAUCAUGAAGUUAAAUAAUUCAUUUUUCAUCUGUCCUGAACUACACAAAACAUGUUGACAAUUAAGCUGGAAUAAAUCACAUCAAAUUGGUUUGGACUAAUUUAUGUGAAAUAUGCCAAAUUUUAGGUGAAAUAUGCCACAUGUAAUACUGUACUGCUUGUCCUCUUCAGUCUGAAUUUAAUGACUAGCAUCAUUUUGUAAAACACAUCACAAGAUAUGUUAUAGCUUGCAUUGCCAUUUUUGCAUUGCUCAGUUUCACAGAAUUUAUUAUCUCACUUCAUAACAUGGCCAAAAAUAUAAAUGCAGUAUGCAUCUGCAAAUGUGCUUGAUUCAAACAAUACUUUUUUUCCUUUUUCUUUUACUUUGACCAAAUUAUUUUUUUAACAUUAUCUCACAACAGUUGGUGUGAACUGCGAACAAGCGAAGCUCCUGCAUGCAAACCAGAUGACAAUAUAAUGCUGUGAA